rnacentral:rRNA from 1 species
GAUAAACGCUGGCGGCGUGCCUAAUACAUGCAAGUCGAGCGAACAGACGAGGAGCUUGCUCCUCUGACGUUAGCGGCGGACGGGUGAGUAACACGUGGAUAACCUACCUAUAAGACUGGGAUAACUUCGGGAAACCGGAGCUAAUACCGGAUAAUAUAUUGAACCGCAUGGUUCAAUAGUGAAAGACGGUUUUGCUGUCACUUAUAGAUGGAUCCGCGCCGCAUUAGCUAGUUGGUAAGGUAACGGCUUACCAAGGCAACGAUGCGUAGCCGACCUGAGAGGGUGAUCGGCCACACUGGAACUGAGACACGGUCCAGACUCCUACGGGAGGCAGCAGUAGGGAAUCUUCCGCAAUGGGCGAAAGCCUGACGGAGCAACGCCGCGUGAGUGAUGAAGGUCUUCGGAUCGUAAAACUCUGUUAUUAGGGAAGAAUAAAUGUGUAAGUAACUAUGCACGUCUUGACGGUACCUAAUCAGAAAGCCACGGCUAACUACGUGCCAGCAGCCGCGGUAA